UACGAGGGGGGCAAGCGUUGUUCGGAAUUAUUGGGCGUAAAGGGCGCGUAGGCGGUGCGGUAAGUCUGAUGUGAAAUCUCCGGGCUCAACUCGGAGUCUGCAUCAGAAACUGCCGUGCUCGAGUGUGGGAGAGGUGAGUGGAAUUCCUGGUGUAGCAGUGAAAUGCGUAGAUAUCAGGAGGAAUACCGAUGGCGAAGGCAGGUCUCUGGGCUGACACUGACGCUCAUGCACGAAAGCGUGGGGAGCAAACAGG
rnacentral:rRNA from 1 species